rnacentral:rRNA from 1 species
AUUGAACGCUGGCGGAAUGCUUUACACAUGCAAGUCGAACGGCAGCACGGGUGCUUGCACCUGGUGGCGAGUGGUGAACGGGUGAGUAAUACAUCGGAACGUACCCAGUCGUGGGGGAUAACGUAGCGAAAGUUACGCUAAUACCGCAUACGUCCUGAGGGAGAAAGCGGGGGACCGUAAGGCCUCGCGCGAUUGGAGCGGCCGAUGGCGGAUUAGCUAGUUGGUGGGGUAAAGGCCUACCAAGGCGACGAUCCGUAGCGGGUCUGAGAGGACGGCCCGCCACACUGGAACUGAGACACGGUCCAGACUCCGACGGGAGGCAGCAGUGGGGAAUUUUGGACAAUGGGCGAAAGCCUGAUCCAGCCAUUCCGCGUGAGUGAAGAAGGCCUUCGGGUUGUAAAGCUCUUUCGGCAGGGAAGAAACGGCUUGGGAUAAUACCCCGGGCUAAUGACGGUACCUGAAGAAGAAGCACCGGCUAACUACGUGCCAGCAGCCGCCGUAA